rnacentral:rRNA from 1 species
GAUGAACGCUGGCGGUGUGCCUAAUACAUGCAAGUCGAGCGAACAGACGAGGAGCUUACUCCUCUGACGUUAGCGGCGGACGGGUGAGUAACACGUGGAUAACCUACCUAUAAGACUGGGAUAACUUCGGGAAACCGGAGCUAAUACCGGAUAACAUGUUGAACCGCAUGGUUCAACAGUGAAAGACGGUCUUGCUGUCACUUAUAGAUGGAUCCGCGUCGCAUUAGCUAGUUGGUAAGGUAACGGCUUACCACGGCAACGAUGCGUAGCCGACCUGAGAGGGUGAUCGGCCACACUGGAACUGAGACACGGUCCAGACUCCUACGGGAGGCAGCAGUAGGGAAUCUUCCGCAAUGGGCGAAAGCCUGACGGAGCAACGCCGCGUGAGUGAAGAAGGUCUUCGGAUCGUAAAACUCUGUUAUUAGGGAAGAACAAAUGUGUAAGUAACUAUGCACGUCUUGACGGUACCUAAUCAGAAAGCCACGGCUAACUACGUG